AUGCAUCUAGAUUAGAGUUUGAUCAUGGCUCAGAGUGAACGCUGGCGGUAGGCCUAACACAUGCAAGUCGAACGGCAGCACAGGAGAGCUUGCUCUCUGGGUGGCGAGUGGCGGACGGGUGAGGAAUACAUCGGAAUCUACUCUGUCGUGGGGGAUAACGUAGGGAAACUUACGCUAAUACCGCAUACGACCUACGGGUGAAAGCAGGGGAUCUUCGGACCUUGCGCGAUUGAAUGAGCCGAUGUCGGAUUAGCUAGUUGGCGGGGUAAAGGCCCACCAAGGCGACGAUCCGUAGCUGGUCUGAGAGGAUGAUCAGCCACACUGGAACUGAGACACGGUCCAGACUCCUACGGGAGGCAGCAGUGGGGAAUAUUGGACAAUGGGCGCAAGCCUGAUCCAGCCAUACCGCGUGGGUGAAGAAGGCCUUCGGGUUGUAAAGCCCUUUUGUUGGGAAAGAAAUCCAGCUGGCUAAUACCCGGUUGGGAUGACGGUACCCAAAGAAUAAGCACCGGCUAACUUCGUGCCAGCAGCCGCGGUAAUACGAAGGGUGCAAGCGUUACUCGGAAUUACUGGGCGUAAAGCGUGCGUAGGUGGUCGUUUAAGUCCGUUGUGAAAGCCCUGGGCUCAACCUGGGAACUGCAGUGGAUACUGGGCGACUAGAGUGUGGUAGAGGGUAG
rnacentral:rRNA from 1 species